rnacentral:rRNA from 1 species
UACGAACCGUGCGAACGUUGUUCGGAAUCACUGGGCUUAAAGGGCGCGUAGGCGGGCGGUCAAGUCAGAGGUGAAAUCCCACGGCUCAACCGUGGAAGUGCCCCUGAUACUGGCCGUCUCGAGGGAGGUAGGGGCGUGCGGAACUUCCGGUGGAGCGGUGAAAUGCGUUGAGAUCGGAAGGAACGCCCGUGGCGAAAGCGAGGUCCUGGACGCCUACUGACGCUGAGGCGCGAAAGCCAGGGGAGCGAACGGG